rnacentral:misc_RNA from 1 species
AAGGAGCACCUGGCCCCUCCGGGGGUCCAGACGCCAGAACGCGAGCGAAUGUCUCGCGCUGGUCGCUCAUGGGUGGAACGUUGAUUAUUCGGCACGGUCGGUAUGGGUGAGAGCGCUAGUACUGCUUCGGCGUGGAACGCGAAGCUCAUCAACUGACCGGGUCGGGCACGCUGUUGGGUGUCUGAGGGUGCGAGCGUUGCUCGCCCUUCACGAUGCCGACCCCGGUGAAGAUCCGCGUUGAGCGGGUUGUGACGGGUGGUUGGUCGUUG